rnacentral:rRNA from 1 species
UACGAAGGGGGCUAGCGUUGCUCGGAAUCACUGGGCGUAAAGCGCACGUAGGCGGAUUGCUAAGUCAGGGGUGAAAUCCUGGAGCUCAACUCCAGAACUGCCUUUGAUACUGGCGAUCUUGAGUCCGGGAGAGGUGAGUGGAACUGCGAGUGUAGAGGUGAAAUUCGUAGAUAUUCGCAAGAACACCAGUGGCGAAGGCGGCUCACUGGCCCGGUACUGACGCUGAGGUGGCGAAAGCGUGGGAGCAAACAGG